rnacentral:rRNA from 1 species
GAGUUUGAUCCUGGCUCAGGAUGAACGCUAGCGGCAGGCCUAACACAUGCAAGUCGAGGGGUAACAGGGAGUGCUUGCACUCUGCUGACGACCGGCGCACGGGUGCGUAACGCGUAUGCAACCUACCUUCUACAGGGGGAUAGUCCAGAGAAAUUUGGCAUAAUACCCCAUACGAUCAUUUAUUGGCAUCGAUAGAUGAGGAAAACUCCGGUGGUAGAAGAUGGGCAUGCGUCCUAUUAGUUAGUUGGUAAGGUAACGGCUUACCAAGACAUCGAUAGGUAGGGGUCCUGAGAGGGAGAUCCCCCACACUGGUACUGAGACACGGACCAGACUCCUACGGGAGGCAGCAGUGAGGAAUAUUGGACAAUGGAGGCAACUCUGAUCCAGCCAUGCCGCGUGCAGGAAGACGGCCCUACGGGUUGUAAACUGCUUUUAUACAGGAAGAAACGCCGCUACGUGUAGCGGUUUGACGGUACUGUACGAAUAAGGAUCGGCUAACUCCGUGCCAGCAGCCGCGGUAAUACGGAGGAUCCAAGCGUUAUCCGGAAUCAUUGGGUUUAAAGGGUCCGUAGGCGGUUUUUUAAGUCAGAGGUGAAAUCCUGCAGCUCAACUGUAGCAUUGCCUUUGAUACUGAAAGACUUGAGUUAUUGUGAAGUAGUUAGAAUGUGUAGUGUAGCGGUGAAAUGCAUAGAUAUUACACAGAAUACCGAUUGCGAAGGCAGAUUACUAACAAUAUACUGACGCUGAGGGACGAAAGCGUGGGUAGCGAACAGGAUUAGAUACCCUGGUAGUCCACGCCGUAAACGAUGGAUACUAGCUGUUCGACCAACAUUGGUUGGUUGAGUGGCUAAGCGAAAGUGAU